rnacentral:rRNA from 1 species
GAACCGUACAAACGUUAUUCGGAAUUACUGGGGCUUAAAGGGUGCGUAGGCGGUGUGGUAAGUGAGGCGUGAAAGCCCUCGGGCUCAACCGAGGAAUUGCGUUUCAUACUGCCACACUCGAGGGAGACAGAGGUAAGCGGAACUGAUGGUGGAGCGGUGAAAUGCGUUGAUAUUAUCAGGAACACCAGUGGCGAAAGCGGCUUACUGGGUCUCUUCUGACGCUGAGGCACGAAAGCUAGGGUAGCGAACGGGAUUAGAUACCCCGGUAGUCCUAGCUGUAAACGAUGAGCACUUGGUCGGGGAUCCCCUCAUAGGUUCCCGAUCGUAGCGAAAGUGUUAAGUGCUCCGCCUGGGGAGUAUGGUCGCAAGUCUG